rnacentral:tRNA from 1 species
GCGCCCGUGGCCCAAUUGGAUAGGGCAUUUGGCUACGGACCAGAAGAUUGCAGGUUCAAAUCCUGCCGGGCGCA